UGUAAAUCGAGUGGAGCCAGAACAUUUUUUUUUGGGAUGGCUGUUUGAUUUAAAUUAUUCUGCCUCAGUAAAAUGUAAUGUUCAAAUCGCCUCUGGACCAUGCAGACUUAUCAUACCAACUGGCACCGUAGAGCACGAUCAAUACGAUUUGAUCGACCAUCCUAGCUUACCUGUCCAAGGAAAAGGCAAGACGAGGUAUCGAUAAUGUUGAAAAGACAGUUGGUCGCCAAAAACUCUCUGUCGAUAACUGUACUCGUAUAUAGAAAGAUAAACUGAUGUAUCAAUGCACAAGCCUAAAGUAUUGGAUCCAGAAACUUGAAAUUUUGAACAGAAGUACUUUUUACAAGCCCGAACGGCCCCACACUUGCGUAUGUGUGAUGAAGGGUUCACACGGCGCGAGGUUUGACGAGCUUUUGGAAGGCGUUACUGUGUGCUUGAGUAAAAUACUUAGAACGCCGAACCACGCGCCUAGAACGUUCUCACGGCGAAUUUCGUUCUACCCGGGAUCACUAUUCACUAGUCAACGCAAACGAUCAUUUCAGAAUGUCCAACACCACAGAUCAUUCGCAAAUUGGUGCUUGCGCAGCUGCUGACAUUUAGUAAUUU